rnacentral:rRNA from 1 species
CAGUAGCCGCGGGAAAACAGAGGGUGCGAGCGUUAAUCGGAUUUACUGGGCGUAAAGCGUGCGUAGGCGGCUUUUUAAGUCGGAUGUGAAAUCCCUGAGCUUAACUUAGAAAUUGCAUUCGAUACUGGGAAGCUAGAGUAUGGGAGAGGAUGGUAGAAUUCCAGGUGUAGCGGUGAAAUGCGUAGAGAUCUGGAGGAAUACCGAUGGCGAAGGCAGCCAUCUGGCCUAAUACUGACGCUGAGGUACGAAAGCAUGGGGAGCAAACAGGAUUAGAUACCCCCGUAGUCCCUGUCUCUUAUAC